AUGGUCAAGCGAAGAAGGGCGCAGGGCGAAUGCCUUGGCACUGGGAGCCGAAGAAAGACGUGAUAAGCUGCGAUAAGCUGCGGGGAGCUGCAAAUAAGCAUUGAUCCGCGGAUUUCUGAAUGAGGAAACUCACUCAGCCUCAUAGCUGAGUAUGUUGCACUGAAAUUCAAAAUAGGUGUAACAGGGGAACCGCCUGAACUGAAACAUCUAAGUAGGGCGAGGAAGAGACAUCAAACGAGAUUCCGUAAGUAGUGGCGAGCGAACGCGGAAGAGGGC
rnacentral:rRNA from 1 species